rnacentral:rRNA from 1 species
UAUUAUUUUAUAUGUAAAUAAUUUUCCUGAGUAGUAAUAGUUAAGGUCUUGAAACUCAAAGAAUUUGGCGGUGUUUCAUUCCAUUCAGAGGAAUCUGUUCCGUAAUUGAUAAUACACGAUUAUGUUUUACUUGAUCUAUUAAGUUUGUAUAUCGCCGUUAUCAGAUUAUGUUAUGAGGUAAUAAAAUUUCUUAUAUUUUUAUUAAAAUUAAUAUCAGGUCAAGGUGCAGCUUAUGAUUAAGAGGAGAUGGAUUACAAUAAAAUUAUUUAUUAUGGAUUUUAAAUUUAAGUUUGAGAUGAAGGUGGAUUUGAUUGUAAAUUGAUUUGAUAAUGAUAAAUUGAUUUUGGCUCUGAAAUGUGUACAUAUCGCCCGUCGCUCUCAUUAUAAGGUGAG